rnacentral:pre_miRNA from 1 species
UUACCUCUGCAGGCUGGCCGGCCCCAGGCUGGAGGACUUUGAGGAGCCCCUGAAAGGCUCAUCCUCAAGCAUGACUAGGAGC